UUCUCAGAGUCUGGCAUGACAAGGACAAGGACACAUCCUCCGACCCACUCCUGGAACUGAGAGUGGGCCCUGGGGUGUGUAGGAUGCGCCAAGACCCAGCACACCCCCAUGUGGUUGCCACAGGUGGGAAAGAGAAUGCUUUGAAGAUAUGGGACCUGCAGGGCUCUGAGGAACCUGUGUUCAGGGCCAAGAACGUGCGGAAUGACUGGCUGGACCUGCGGGUUCCCAUCUGGGACCAGGACAUACAGUUUCUCCCAGGAUCACAGAAGCUUGUCACCUGCACAGGGUACCACCAGGUAAGGUGUCACCUCACACCUGCCUUCUCCUGGGAUAAAGCAGCCUCCUGGAGAAAUGGCCCCCACAGUUUGACACAACUGCCCUUCUCACCAUUCUGAGUUCAGAGGAGCAAGCGCUUCCCCAUCUGUUCCAACCCUGUCCCUGAGCCCAUGACCUUCCUCUACUGUAUUCUAGGGUGGAGUUUCCUGAA
rnacentral:sRNA from 1 species